UACGUAGGGUGCGAGCGUUGUCCGGAAUUAUUGGGCGUAAAGGGCUCGUAGGCGGUCUGUCACGUCGGGAGUGAAAACUCGGGGCUCAACCCCCGAGCCUGCUUCCGAUACGGGCAGACUAGAGGUAUGCAGGGGAGAAUGGAAUUCCUGGUGUAGCGGUGAAAUGCGCAGAUAUCAGGAGGAACACCGGUGGCGAAGGCGGUUCUCUGGGCAUUACCUGACGCUGAGGAGCGAAAGUGUGGGGAGCGAACAGG
rnacentral:rRNA from 1 species